UUCAGGGAACAGUUAAUAAAAAUACAGGAAGCAAUAACAGUCCAAGAGGCGAACACUGCAAUUGCAGAGGCAGCAGAUAGUCUCAGCAUUAUAGGUUCCUUAAGACAUGUUUCCAGCCUGAAGGAGAAGGACUCCCUUGUACAGUCAGCUGCAGACUUCUUCGUCAAUGGAAGAUUGGUGACUGCCCUGGACCAGUUUGCUGAGGGGUUAAAAACCCUUGGUUUACUGGAGGAGCUGAGGAAAAAUCCAGCAGUGUUCUACAACAUGUUUGUCAGUGAGGAGAUUCCACUACAGGCGAAGGGCCUAUGCACUUUAUUUGACGUGGACUUCUCUGUGCAGGGCAGCACCGGAGAGACCGAGAAAAACAGACAAUAUGCUUUUGGCGUGACUGGUUAAUUGAAAUUGAAGAAGGAUAAUGCAGUCCAGUCACCCUGGAGAAGGUAUUGGAGUUUACAACUGGAGCCUCAACAGUGCCUCCGCUGGGAUUUCCACACCGUCCACAAAUUCAGUUCCUUCAUGAGGGCAACAGAAUCUUCCCAGAAGCAAAUACUUGUGCUCUUCUACUCCGCCUGCCGCUGCACUCUUCCUAUGAAGCCUUCAAACAAUACAUGAUGGAGGGAAUUUUGCAAGCUCCAACCUUUGGACUUGCAUGAUGUCACUGUGUGUAAAAUUUGUUGAUGGAAAUUCAGUUUUCACUUGAGCUAUAUUUAUGCUUAGAAGUUAGUUGAUAGAAUGCUGUGUUGAAGCAAGUCACAGGUUCAAAUGGUAAUUUUUUUUUUUUCUUUUUUUUUAGAUUUAGUAAUUUUGUUUAUUUUGCUUUAGUAACAGUUAACUUCAGUUAAUUCAAUAUUGAGUUUUUCAGUUAACUCAAAUGUAUUGUGUAUUUUUUUAUUUUUUUUUGCUUUCUUUCAAAAAUAUUUUUAUAUAUUUUUGAAGAUCUAAAUUGACAUGAUUUUCACAACAAUGGCACACAAAUGUGAAUUAAAUACAGCCUAAAGACCACCAAUUACCUCAUUUCCAGAAUUAGGAUAUUGGCUCUGAAGUUGCCUCACAUGUUGUUCUAGUUCACCAUCAUCUAUUGCAGACAGCAUACUUCUAACAGGUAUACCCAUCAACUUUGACUUCUUGUACAGAAAUGAUGAGAAGCAUCCCAGUAUUUCAGCAGUUUGUGCAAUUGUAUGGCCUUGCUUCAGCAGAAAUUCAAUGUGUUCUCUGGUAACAUCACGGGCUGGUCGGCCUCUUCUCACUACAAAAAAGUGUUUAAGCAGCAUUGUACUGUUUAUUUUUUGUAUAUAUCAGCGUAGCAAUUCACAUGCAUGCAUUGGAAUUGCGUAUUGUUAAUGAAUAGGCAGGUUCAGAUGGAGUUUUUUUUUUAGACUCAGUAAUUCUGUUCAUUUUACAUGAGUUACAGUUCACUUAAGUUGAUAGGUUAUUCAAUAUUGAGUUUUUCAGUUAACUCAAAUGUAUUGUGUAUUUUUUUUAUAUUUUGAAUGUUUUUUAAAAAUAUUUUAAUUUUUACAAGACAUUUAUUGGGCUUAUAGUUCAUGGUUACUAUGGUGACACUGUUGCGGUUGUCUAAUGAAAUAGAUACUCCUUUAUAAGCCUACUGUAAGGAUUUAUUGGGCUUCUAAUUCAAUGAAUUUGAUCAAAUCACACAUAACUGCCAAUAUGUUUGGCUUAUGUAGAUGUUGACGAAUACAGAGUGAAUACAGACAAGGCAAACAAAAAGUCAGGCUGGUUGUAGUUCCGUCAGAGCUGGAAGCUGCUACCUGACCAGAGGAGGUUUGAGGUAAAGGAGGAUGACCUGAAGAGUCUGGACAGACACUGAAGGGACAGAAGUCAGUACAAGCAAAUGUGAUAUAAUAAACUGUAUAACAUGGUGAAAAAUGAAACUCUUACUGCGGUUUGUUUAUAAACAGUUUGUUCAUUGUAUCACAUUCAGUUAUACUGACUUCUGUCCCUCCAGCGUCUGUCAGACUCCUGGUCAUCAACCUCAACAGCUUACCGUUGUAACCUGUCCCUAUCAUGACUCGGUCUCUGUUCUGAUUGAUUGAUGUUAAGGUAUAACAAGGUAUUUAAGGUAUUUUUGGCUGUUAAACCUCUCUCCUUAACUGUUAAUCUAAAAUCCCCAUUCAAGCCAUUAAACAUUUCAUAUUUUUUCAUACA